GUCACUCCUCCCUCCCCUCCUUCUCUUCUCCCUUCCCUCUCUCAAUUCCCUCUCCCUCACGGCCCACAGCAGCUGCCGGCACACCAGACCACCAGCAGACCACCGUGAGCAGCCCGCAGCAGCACAGCCGCGUUUUCCCUCCCCCACGCACUACAAGCAGCAGCCUCACCACGAACGACCACAGCAGCGGCUGUUUCGUGAGCCACCAGCAGGUACAGCAGCCGCAAGAGGUGGUUCCUCCACCAUUUUCGUGCUCCACACCACUACAAAAACCAUUUAUACCCUCACCCAUUUCUAGUUCCCCUUGUGCCCGGUUCAUAAGAGGGGCGUAAGAACCCCUUCGAAGCGAUUUUUGUGGCUUGUCAUCUUGCAGUGCAGCAGGGGCGUCGUAGAUAGGUCUUGCAGGUUUUGGAGUUUCCUUGCAUUGCAUAUGGGGGGGGGAUCGAGUGAGAACCUUGACGCGUGCCCUGUUCGAACCAUUUUUGACGCUACAUGUGAUUUCGAAUUGAAAGUGUGUAUGUUUUGGUUGAGGCAUGAGUCCUCCUUUUGAUGUAAUUCGUUCCGCUGCAAAGAUUUAUAUCGUUUUAUAUUUUGUUAUAGUAUCUUGAAUGGCUUGUACAGUGGAUUAUCUUUUUGCUUGGAAAACCCAAGUGUUUACAUGGGAACCACGAUCCAUGCUUAGCAUGUCGACAGAGGUUUUGGCGAUGACCUUUCC